UCGGAUGGAGUUUGUCAAGGCCU
rnacentral:piRNA from 1 species